GAUGAACGCUGGCGGCGUGCCUAAUACAUGCAAGUCGAGCGAACGGACGAGAAGCUUGCUUCUCUGAUGUUAGCGGCGGACGGGUGAGUAACACGUGGAUAACCUACCUAUAAGACUGGGAUAACUUCGGGAAACCGGAGCUAAUACCGGAUAAUAUUUUGAACCGCAUGGUUCAAAAGUGAAAGACGGUCUUGCUGUCACUUAUAGAUGGAUCCGCGCCGCAUUAGCUAGUUGGUAAGGUAACGGCUUACCAAGGCAACGAUGCAUAGCCGACCUGAGAGGGUGAUCGGCCACACUGGAACUGAGACACGGUCCAGACUCCUACGGGAGGCAGCAGUAGGGAAUCUUCCGCAAUGGGCGAAAGCCUGACGGAGCAACGCCGCGUGAGUGAUGAAGGUCUUCGGAUCGUAAAACUCUGUUAUUAGGGAAGAACAUAUGUGUAAGUAACUGUGCACAUCUUGACGGUACCUAAUCAGAGAGCCACGGCUAACUACGUG
rnacentral:rRNA from 1 species